CCCGGUGUGGCUGAUGAGGAUGUUGCCACUGAGACUGUGUGAUGCUCAGUCUGAAGUAAACGCGCUGACACACCACGG